rnacentral:rRNA from 1 species
UGGGGAAUAUUGGGCAAUGGGCGCAAGCCUGACCCAGCAACGCCGCGUGAAGGAAGAAGGCUUUCGGGUUGUAAACUUCUUUUCUCAGGGACGAAGCAAGUGACGGUACCUGAGGAAUAAGCCACGGCUAACUACGUGCCAGCAGCCGCGGUAAUACGUAGGUGGCAAGCGUUAUCCGGAUUUACUGGGUGUAAAGGGCGUGUAGGCGGGAAAGCAAGUCAGAUGUGAAAACCAUGGGCUCAACCUGUGGCCUGCAUUUGAAACUGUUUUUCUUGAGUACUGGAGAGGCAGACGGAAUUCCUAGUGUAGCGGUGAAAUGCGUAGAUAUUAGGAGGAACACCAGUGGCGAAGGCGGUCUGCUGGACAGCAACUGACGCUGAGGCGCGAAAGCGUGGGGAGCAAACGAGGAUUAGAUACCC